rnacentral:rRNA from 1 species
CAGUCGCCACGGUAAUACAGAGGGUGCGAGCGUUAAUCGGAUUUACUGGGCGUAAAGCGUGCGUAGGCGGCUUCUUAAGUCGGAUGUGAAAUCCCUGAGCUUAACUUAGGAAUUGCAUUCGAUACUGGGAAGCUAGAGUAUGGGAGAGGAUGGUAGAAUUCCAGGUGUAGCGGUGAAAUGCGUAGAGAUCUGGAGGAAUACCGAUGGCGAAGGCAGCCAUCUGGCCUAAUAAUGACGCUGAGGUACGAAAGCAUGGGGAGCAAACAGGAUUAGAUACCCCCGUAGUCCCUGUCUCUUAUAU